rnacentral:rRNA from 1 species
CUGCCCAAUGAGUAUUUAAAUGGCCGCGGUAUUUUGACCGUGCAAAGGUAGCAUAAUCAUUAGUUUUUUAAUUGAAAGCUGGUAUGAAAGGUUGGAUGAGAAAAUUACUGUCUCUAUUUAAAUUAUUUAGAAUUUUAUUUUUAAGUAAGAAAGCUUAAAUAAUAAUAGAAGACGAGAAGACCCUAUAGAGUUUUAUACAUUUUAAUUUAAGAAAUUUUUAGAAUUAAUAAAUUUUUAUGUUAAAAUUUAUUUAGUUGGGGUGAUUGAAAAAUUGGAAAAACUUUUUUUGUUUAUUAAAACAUUUAUUUAUGAUUGGAUGAUCCUUAUUUAAAGAUUAAAAGAAAAAAUUACCUUAGGGAUAACAGCGUAAUUUUUUUAAAGAGUUCAAAUCGAAAAAAAAGAUUGCGACCUCGAUGUUGGAUUAAAAUAAAAUUUUGGUGUAGAGGCUAAAGUAUUUGGGUCUGUUCGACCCUUAAAAUUUUACAUGAUCUGAGUUUAAACCGGUGU